CCUAUGGAGUGUUAUAACAAACCAAAGUAGCUUUGGCAAAAUGGAACACUAUGAAUUAGGAA
rnacentral:ncRNA from 2 species